rnacentral:rRNA from 1 species
AAAUAGUUAGGCCAACGUUUGUUGGUCGUCACUUCUUAGAGGGACUAUUGACUAUUAGUCAAUGGAAGUUUGAGGCAAUAACAGGUCUGUGAUGCCCUUAGAUGUUCUGGGCCGCACGCGCGCUACACUGAUCAAGUCAACGAGUUUACAACCUUGGCCGGAAGGUCUGGGUAAUCUUUUGAAACUUGAUCGUGCUGGGGAUAGUCCAUUGCAAUUAUUGGACUUCAACGAGGAAUUCCUAGUAAGCGUGAGUCAUCAGCUCGCGUUGAUUACGUCCCUGCCCUUUGUACACACCGCCCGUCGCU